AGUGGAGCGCACGAACUUAACCACUCCGCCACGGGGCCAGCCCCUCUCCUAGAAUUAUUUUGAGGAUAAAUUAGAUAAUACAUAUGAAGUACUUAGCCUUGAUUAUGUGCUCAAAAAUUAGUAAUAAUGACAACAAUAAAUAUCUCUUCAGACCCACUUUAGGAAGCUGGAUGCCUGAUGUUCAAUAGACCUGUAUGUCAUCUCGGCAUGAAUCUUUUCUAAAUCUCACCCCAGAUUUACAACUGUUUCCAGGUAAGUGCAGAGCCAUAACUGUCUGUGUCUAGGUAGGAGAUAUACAGGAAACAAAAUUUGAAGUCUGCAGUUAGACAAGAUGGCUUGAGUCAGUGGGUUGUGUUGAUUUGUAAGGUUCAUCCAAGAGCCGAUGUUUAAUUUCAAGAGAUGAUGUCAGUUAUUUUGGGGGAUGAUGCUGAAAUGGGUCUUUAUCAGAAUCUUCUAGACUUCUAUUUGAAGUCGUGCCAUCAUUUGUACCAUGGCUUCUGUGGUCAGUAAGGUGAUCUCAGGCUGCCAGCAAACACGGACGGGACCCUCCUGCCUCAGAACAGGAAGUCAUCUAAAUCUGACGCAGUCUUUCUUCUCUGUGUUCCUGGUCUCAGACUCUUUAUUAAGCACUUAGUUAAAGCUGGUGACACCAGAAUAUAAACCUUAUUUUAAUUAAACCAUUCCCCAGGGUUCUCUUAGUGCUCUGCACUGACAGAAGUAGCAUCCAUGAAGAGGAAGCUGAGGAUGAACUCUUUGUGAGAAGUCUCCAUUUUAUACUGAUUUUCACUGGACACAAGAUGGACUGUUUGCAGUAGGACUGUCGGGGAUAACAGGCGCUGGAUUUUGUGCAAAGAUUUUUAUCUCUGGUGUUUCUGGCACUGAUUACGGUUUCAGGCAAACAGAGGCACUGAGGACCUAGCAACAAUCACUACGGAGCUUCCUGGUUGCCAGCAACAGUAAAUACCACAGAGACACAAGGACACAAGCUUUCACACAUGGACAAUGAAACCUAGAGCCUGGUUUCCUAUUUCAGAUACAACAGAGUCCUCCAGGAUUACAACCGUCUGGGGAGUAAUUCUCUAUCAACUUAUCCAGGGGUUAUCAGAAUUUGGAAAUAACUGAACCACACCACCCAAAAGCAUCAAAACUCUGUAGUUCCAAAACGGAUGCCUUCAAGCCUUUUCAAGAUUUGUUCCCUUUCUCCAAACGUCAGAUUUCAUCAGUAGGCUUCAGGAAACCAUCUCCCCAGUGACCCAGAGCAAAAUUACAGAUUAAAAUGUCUAUCUCAGGGGGCCGGCCAGGUGGUGCAGUGGUUAAGUUCGCACGUUCCGCUUCUCGGCAGCCCGGGGUUCGCUGGUUCGCA